rnacentral:rRNA from 1 species
UACGGAGGGUGCGAGCGUUGUUCGGAAUUAUUGGGCGUAAAGCGCGUGUAGGCGGUUUUUUAAGUCUGAUGUGAAAGCCCCGGGCUCAACCUGGGAAGUGCAUUGGAAACUGGGAGACUUGAAUACGGGAGAGGGCAGUGGAAUUCCUGGUGUAGGAGUGAAAUCCGUAGAUAUCAGGAGGAACACCGGUGGCGAAGGCGGCUGCCUGGACCGAUAUUGACGCUGAGACGCGAAAGCGUGGGGAGCAAACAGGAUUAGAUACCCUGGUAGUCCACGCCGUAAACGAUGAGUACUAGGUGUCGCGGGUAUUGACCCCUGCGGUGCCGCAGCUAACGCAUUAAGUACUCCGCCUGGGAAGUACGGCCGCAAGGCUAAA